rnacentral:rRNA from 1 species
CCUACGGGUGGCAGCAGUGAGGAAUAUUGGUCAAUGGACGAGAGUCUGAACCAGCCAAGUAGCGUGAAGGAUGACUGCCCUAUGGGUUGUAAACUUCUUUUAUAAAGGAAUAAAACGAGGCACGUGUGCCUUUUUGCAUGUACUUUAUGAAUAAGGAUCGGCUAACUCCGUGCCAGCAGCCGCGGUAAUACGGAGGAUCCGAGCGUUAUCCGGAUUUAUUGGGUUUAAAGGGAGCGUAGAUGGGUUGUUAAGUCAGUUGUGAAAGUUUGCGGCUCAACCGGAAAAUUGCAAUUGAUACUGGCAGUCGUGAGGACAGUUGAGGUAGGCGGAAUUCGUGGUGUAGCGGUGAAAUGCUUAGAUAUCACGAAGAACCCCGAUUGCGAAGGCAGCUUACUAAACUGUGACUGACAUUGAUGCUCGAAAGUGUGGGUAUCAAACAGGAUUAGAUACCCUGGUAGUC